UGUGAGGCCUCCCCAGCCAUUUGGAGCUAUAAGUCUAUUAAACCUUUUUUUCUUGCCAGUCUAGGUAUGUUUUUAUCAGCAGCAUGAAAACAGACCAAUAUAUAUCCCCAAAGUUAGAUACUUUAUCAUAUUACAAUUGUGUGGAUUUGGGAUUUGCAGGACUCAGCUGUUUGAUUCUCUUGAUGAAUGUAGCUCCAACUGAGGUCACUCCAUGAUAAUCAGCUUGUAGGUGUGCUGGGCUGGCCUAGAGAGCCCAGGAUGGCUUCAUUUACAUGUCUGGUGGCAUUGGCUGGUGGGGGCUGCCUGCAAGGCUGGGCUCAGUUGGGACCACUAUCCAGAGUACCUGAACAUGGCUUCUCCAACCUAGACUUAUUGGUGCAGUUGAUUCAUUACAUGGCAGCUCCAAGCUCCGAGAGAGAGUGUUGUAAGAGAGGCGAGGUUGGCUGACACCCUCCUAAGGCCCAGACCCAGAAACUGACAAGCACUACUUCUGCAGUAUUCUAGUGGUCAAGCAAUCAUAAGCCUGCCCAGAGCACCCCACCUCACCUCUCCAUGUAGGGAGUGUCAAAGAAUUUGGGACCAUCUUCAAUCUACCACAAUCCCCAUUCUUCACUUGCAGUCCCUUCCCACACAGGCAGUCUUUCUGUGCAUCUUAUGUGCAUCCUUGAAUUUAAACAUAGUCUCUAACGUAAGUUAUGUAAAUCUGUGUGGACAUCUCCCUUGCUUCUGACUGAUAGAUGCUUCUCCAAGGCGUGCACCCACCACGUUUACUUCUAUCUUCCAACAGGGAUGGGCUCCUGAGUAGCCAAUGCCCCCGCCAGAAGCAAUGCAGAAUGAGCACUUCCCCACGUUUUGGACAGAGAGUGUCUCUGAGCUGCAUACCGAGGAGUGACAUUGCAUUUCUGGGUCAUGGGCAGAAGAUUUACACAGUCAACUUGAAUCAGUACCAUCAGACGGCUCUCCAGAGUGGCUGCACCUUCUCACACUCCCUUGCAGAGAAUGAGGGUUCAUCUUUCCCCCACACUCCAGCCAACACUUGGCAUUACCUGACUUUCUAAUUUUUGCUAAUCUGAUGAGUGUACAGAGUAAAGUUUCAUGUUGCAUCUUUAAACAAAGAGUGAAAAUAUAGAGGAAAAGGAUAGGAAGGAAGGACGUUAGGAGGGAAGGAAAAUGACAGCUGGCUAAGGGGGAAGGAUUGGAAAGUCAAGUUUUCUGGACUGCACAGUACCCUACGGAAUCCUAGGGGCCAUCAGAGCUGCAGGUCACCUUGUGCAAAAGUGCAAAACAUAGUUAGACAUAUGGAAUUUGGCCUCCUGGCAUCCUGGCCAGAAGGAGUUCAUUCCACAGGGCCAAAGCUGGCUGUGCCUGCCUCCCUCUGGGUUCCUGGAAGCCGAGGAAGGGUGGACCAGCCUCCAGCUCCCAGGUCCUUAUGCUCAUGAGAUUUUGCUCCUCGUAUUUCUCUCUCAGUACUUUCCCAGUGGCCAGGGAGUCCAUCUUUAGGGGGGACCUGUACAGUAUUGUUUUAAUCUUCAGCUCUCUCUGCUUCCUCUCUGUUCCCUUCUUCUUCUCCUUCUUUAUCACACAGAACAGAUGUGGAAAAAGCCAAGCCUUUAGGAACAUCUGCUGAGACACCCAGGCUGAGGAAACUGUGACCCCUUCUGACUGUUGGGUUUCAUCCAAGGACCUCAGUUCUCUGGCCAGAGUAUUUGCAUCAAAGUCAGCAAGUUAUUCUAGCUAUUUAAGACAAUUUGCUAAAUCCCUGAAGACUUGCACACAUAGAAGGAAGAGAGAGAUGCUAUUUUUUAAAUGUGGGCUGCAGUUGGAGCUGGCUUGCCCAGAAGUGCAGAAUUCCCAGUGCUUCCCAGGGAGCAUGCGUUACUCUUGGAAAUACCUGGAUACAUAGGCAAGGUAUAGGAAAAAAGUUGAAUUCUUCUGACUAAGAAAGAAACUGCAAUCUGGAACUUGAUCAGCAGCUGCAUGCUGACUGCUAGAGGAAGAAGGGUUUGUUUCUGGUUUUGUUUCUUUGUUUUUUGGGGGAGGGGACAAAGUGAUUUCUGAAAGAGAGUGAGAGGACCCAGAAGUAAAAAGGUGGCAGAGGGAAUUGGAGGAGGAAAUGGGACAGUGAUAAAUUCCGCCUAGCAGGAGUUCCCUGCCCAGCUGAGGACUUCAGUUUAGAAUCAUUUACUUUGGGGAUAACACCUCUUGUUAACUGCAGACCUGCAGGAAACAUCUGCUAAACUUGACAGCUGUGUGCUGCUGGUGGUCAUUGAAAGACCAGCAUUAAGUUGACAGGCAGAAAGAAAAAGACAGUCCCAGAGGGAAGAAAGGAAUGAGAUGGAGUGCUCAGUGUGAACGGGAAAUCAGAGCCAGGGAUGACCAGUAAAAUAUAAGCCCUGGGGGAAUCUAGAAACAUCUUGGAAAGGGCCCAAGGCGUUUUCAUAACAUGUGGGCUGGGCGACUCUCGGGAAGGACCCCAGACUGGCGAACUUGGAAAUAUGCAAACUGAAGGUAUCUAGGUUACACAUGAGUGGAUGGAUGCACACACACGCACAUGUGCACACACGCACACACAUGCCCACAUACACAUGCACACACACAUGCACACACAGGCACACCCCCAGGUCCCCUAGGGUGGUAGUCCUCAACCUUAGCUGCACAUUUGAAUUGCCUGGGGGCUUUAAAAAAUGCCAGAGCCUACCCUCACCCCAAUGCCACCAACCCAAUGACAUCAGAAUCUAUGAGAAUCAGACACACACAUCAGGUUUUCAAAGCUCCCAGGGCUGAGCAGCACUGUUCUACAGGCUGACAGCUCCAGCUGCCUAGAGGGCAAAGGCCAGCUACAGUCUCCUGCAACCAAAGACUCACCUGAGCUAUCGUGCCCUUCCAUCACACCCUGUCCCCAGGCCUUCUCCCUUCCUUUCUCACCACUUCCCCUAUCCCCUUCCCAACAGGCACCCAGUGGAAUUUAAACCUGAGACAAGCCACAAAUAAUUUUGUUUAAUAUAAGUAUGAGCUGUGUAAAUUCGUAUCUACCAUGCAACAUACUCAUACUAAAAGUUAUUUGUGAUUUCUCUAAAAUUCAAAUUUAACCAGAUGUCCUGCGUUUUUAGUUGCUAAAUCUGACAACCCUAGAUAGGGACAACUUAAGUAAAAUAUUUUCUUCCUCGACAAGGGACAGAAAUCUGGCACCACCGCUAGCACCAGAUCCAGAGUCAAAGCCUAGGGCUCCUGGGCUGAGCCCCUGGGAGAAUCAGCAAAGCUUUCCGCCUUCCCCAGACCGUGCUGUGGGCACGCAGUACUGCGAGUUAUCACCACCAGAGGGCGCACUCUGAGCAGGCAGGAGGAGGCAGCGAAGAAACGACCCCAACCCAUGGAUGCUUAGGGACAAAGUGAGGGCUCAAUCCCCAAAGGAGCACUAGUAGGGUGGAGGGACAUUUCUUCCUCUUCUAAACUAAAUGAUGGUGAAGACACCUGAGAUUCAAUGAGAGAGAAGGGUGAGCCCAGGGUAGAAUGGUAAGACUUAAAACCUGACAGGUGUUUCUUUUAUAGUGAUUUAUUGCUUUGAUUGUUAAAAACUGCAUAAAUGAAAUAGUCAAACCAUUCAGAAUUAAA